rnacentral:rRNA from 1 species
CCACUGGUCGCUCUCCGGGGCUAUGGCUGGCCUGAAUCGCUGCAGUGUCAAAUCGUCUGAAGACGACUUAGGUACCUGUCGUGGUGUCGUAAGUAGUAGAGCAGCCACCACACUGCGAUCUAUUGAGGCUUAGCCUCUGACUGGAAGGUUUGUCCGCGGUACGAAACCGAAACGUUCAUCCUUCCUGCGAGAUCGCAAAGACUGUACGAGUGCAAAACCGCAUGGCCAGAUGGCCCGUUCGCUCGGGUUCGCCCGAAAAUGGAGGAACCACCAUACGGGACCCAAAGCCGCGUGAAGUACGAAAGGAACCGCGUGGUCGGGACCCGAAAAAGGCUUGAGCCGCGUGAAGUACGAAAGGAACCGCGCGGUCAAAAGUCGAGGUGUGUUUGACCUGGUGCCGUGUGAAGUACGAAAGGAACCACGUGGUCGAGUAGGGCUCGACCCUAAACCGCGCAAAGUACGAAAGGAACCGCGCGGUAGGGGCUCGAGACAAAGCUCGGCCCUAAACCGCGCCAAGUACGGAAGGAACGGCGGCGGAGGAGGGCUCGAGACAACUACUGCGAAGACGAACUACUGCGAAAGCAUUUGCCAAGAAUGUUUUCAUUGAUCAAGAACGAAAGUCAGAGGUUCGAAGGCGAUAUGAUACCGCCCUAGUUCUGACCAUAAACGAUGCCAACCAGCGAUCCGCCUGAGUUACUCAAAUGACUCGGCGGGCAGCUUCCGGGAAACCAAAGUAUUUGGGUUCCGGGGGAAGUAUGGUUGCAAAGCUGAAACUUAAAGGAAUUGACGGAAGGGCACCACCAGGAGUGGAGCCUGUGGCUUAAUUUGACUCAACACGGGAAAACUUACCCGGCCCGGACACUGGGAGGAUUGACAGAUUGAGAGCUCUUUCUUGAUUCGGUGGAUGGUGGUGCAUGGCCGUUCUUAGUUGGUGGAGCGAUUUGUCUGGUUAAUUCCGAUAACGAACGAGACUCUAGCCUAUUAAAUAGGUGCGGGGUUCCCAGCACCUUACAACCUUCUUAGAGGGACAAGCGGCUCCUAGCCGCACGAAACAGAGCAAUAACAGGUCUGUGAUGCCCUUAGAUGUCCGGGGCCGCACGCGCGCUACACUGAAGGAAGCAGCGUGUCUUUAUCCCUGUCUGAAAAGACUGGGUAACCCGUGGAACUUCUUUCGUGAUUGGGAUAGGGGCUUGCAAUUGUUCCCCUUGAACGAGGAAUACUCAGUAAGCGAGGAGCCAUAAGCUGCGCGUCGCCCGUCCGGCCUUUAGUACACACCGCCCGUCGCUACUACCGAUUGAAUGAUUUAGUGAGGUCUUCGGACCGAUGUCCGGCGCGGCCUUUCGGUUGCGCCGGUCUGUUGGAAAGAUGACCAAACUUGAUCAUUUAGAGGAAGUAAAAGUCGUAACAAGGUUUCCGUAGGUGAACCUGCGGAAG